GGGAUUGUGGCUCAGUGGUAGAGUGCUUGCCUAAACAUGCAUGAGGCACUGGGUUGGAUCCUCAGCAUCACA
rnacentral:tRNA from 1 species